GCUGAGUCACAUGGGCCGGGCUGGAAUAUUUUUAAAUAGCUCUAAUGACAUCCUUACUGAGUACAGGGACUCUAUAUGCCAAACAAAGGAGACUCUUACAAAUAAUUAUAUAUAUUUUAAUUACCUGUAAAAAUAACUUUUUCUUCCAUUACAUAUAUUUUGAUAGCUUCUUGGAGACAGGAGGGCCCAAGAAACCUGACUUAUGAUUAACUCACCCAUUGGAUCACAUGUCAGUCUUAAUAGAGGUCCAGUAAGCAAAUAGACACCACCCAUUCAUUUCAUGCAAGCCUCUGACGAGCUGCCUGUGGAAACAAAUGUCUCUCCUUGCUCAACUAGCUAGAGUUCAAACUGGUGACUUGGAGGUGAAAGGUUGUGGAUUCUGUUAUCAAUCAUCUAGGCUACCCAUUGCUCCAUCAACAAAGUGCUGCCUCAGACAAGAGAAGGGAGAAUUAUUUUAUUUCACUUAUUGACACAUUGCACAACUCUGUUAGCAAGUAUCAUCUUGUAUACGUUAUGAAAAGCAGCUUAAAAAGCAGCUUUCUUUUAUUUAACAUAUGGAACAUAUGUGAAGGAAAUGUGCAAAACACAAUGUUCUGCAAAUUGCUAUGAAUUGUUGGUGAGAAAAUUCAUUUACGGUUCCUGGAUUUUUCUUCUUGUCUGUAACUGUCAACCAAUGGCAGUGGGAUGGAUUGAGUCGCCCCAUGCAGAUGUCUGUGAACACAGUCUCUGGCCUCUGUCAGAUAACAUUACAGACCUGCCUUUAACACUCAUUGCUCACAUACUUGGGGGAAUAAGUUAUUUUACUUUUCUGCUACACUAUUUUUUUUUUUCUUUGCCAUAAAUACAUAGUAGAGAGUAUAAAAUGAUUGUUGAGAGGUAGCUGACAGAGAAGUCAAGAGCUGCCCAUUGGGAUAUUCAUUACUUCAUGAAGAUAAUUCAUCUAAAUAAUUUAUCAAAACAAUACAAAAAGAUGAAGACAGAAUUUAGUCUCAUGAUUAGUUAACAUUACUCAAUAAAAGUUUGAAAUACA